GGGAUAGAUCAUAAAUGCUGGAAUGCUUUAUGAUUGAAAGGUUUCGACCGCCUUAGGAUGGAUCUGCGGCCUAUCAGGUUGUAGUGGGUGUAAUGUACCUACUAGCCUACGACGGGUACGGGUUGUGGAAGCAAGAGCCCGGAGAUGGAUUCUGAGACAUGAAUCCAGGCCCUACGGGGCGCAGCAGGCGCGAAAACUUUACAAUGCGGGAAACCGUGAUAAGGGAACACUGAGUGCUAGCAUUUAUGUUAGCUGUCCACAUGUGUAAAUAGCAUGUGAUAGCAAGGGCUGGGCAAGACCGGUGCCAGCCGCCGCGGUAACACCGGCAGCCCGAGUGGUGAUCACUAUUAUUGGGUCUAAAGGGUCCGUAGCCGGUUUAAUCAGUCUUCUGGGAAAUCUAAUCGCUUAACUAUUAGGCUUCCAGGGGAUACUGUUAGACUUGGGACCGGGAGAGGUAAGAGGUACUGCAGGGGUAGGAGUGAAAUCUUGUAAUCCCUGUGAGACCACCAGUGGCGAAGGCGUCUUACCAGAACGGGUCCGACGGUGAGGGACGAAAGCUGGGGGCACGAACCGGAUUAGAUACCCGGGUAGUCCCAGC
rnacentral:rRNA from 1 species